rnacentral:misc_RNA from 1 species
GAAAUUUUAAUAUUUUAUAAUUGGAUACAAUAUAGUUAAAAUAACAAUCAUCAAAACAAACAUGAAUAUUUAAACUAACAAUACGAUACAAUCGUUUCAGAUGUUCAGCAUGCAAAAAAAUUCUCAUAAAAUAUCAUGCUUAUUUGCACUCAUAAAUCUUAUAGUAAAUUAAUUUCUCAUUUGAUCAGUGCUUGUUGAUGAACUCUGCAAUGGCUUCAAAAAGCUUUUCAGUUGCAGAACCAGUAACAGGGUCCAUAUCAACAGCAAUUUUGUUCAGGUAAAAACUGUGUCCCACGCCAUUGUUAAUCAACAGUUCAACAUCUUUUUCCCCUGUUUUCAGUGAUUCGUAAAAUUCCAUUUCAGUGUCUUUUAUCAGAUCCUUCUCCGCUACACAGUACAAGUAAGGCGGCAAUUUCAGCUCCUCCACCGCCGGUGCCGCAUCACCCAUCGGACAAGUGAUCGGGUGAUCCUUAGUGCUACCAAUCGGUAAAGCCAGUUCCAUAAAUUUAUCCACCAUAUCUAAGGUUAGAAAGGGGGUUUGUUCCUGUUCUAGCUCCGAUUUGCUUCGCUGGGAUCGCAUGAAGCCUGGAUGGAUCGGGAUUGCGCCGGCGAGCUUCAUCGGAGAUAAGUCUUCUUCUCCGGCUCUGGCGGCAACUUGAUGGACGACGUUUCCGCCGGAGCUGUCUCCGAUGAGGAAUACGCGGUUGAAAUCGGCGUAUUCGUUGAGCCAGGGCUCGUGACCUUGUUCCCGGGAUACGUCACGGAGCCAGAGGAGGCCGGCGAAGCCGGCAUCACAAGCGGCAGGGAGGCGGUGCUCCGGCGCCAGAGGUAGGAAGACGGAAACAACAAUAGCGUUUGCCACACGCGCUAAGCGAGUGUAGACAGCAUAGUACAUGAACCAAUCAGCUUGGCUGAUACAAAAACCACCGCCGUGGAAGUGAAGAAUGACGGGAAGCUUAUCAACCGAACUAUCAUUACGUUCAGGUAAGUAAAUACGGAAACGACUACCGGAAUUCUCCCCGGCGACCACAUCUUUGACGGCAACGCCGUCAAUGAAGUCGUCAUGCGGUGGAACAGGCUCAGCCAUGAACUUGACUUCAGGUGGACCAGUCCAUGUCCGGUCUACUGAACCGUCGUCAAAAACUGUAAGCCAACCGGAAACUACAUCUUUAACUUGCUUAUCAUGAACCAUUUUAGGAAAUUUCUAAAAAGUAAAAUAAACACAAAUUAUGAAAAAUUUUAUUUUUUCUUGGGUAUACUAUAA